rnacentral:SRP_RNA from 1 species
GUCCCGGGUGUGGAAGUCCCGCCCCGCAGGGUCGGCGGCGGAGGGGCCCCGACCGGAGGGCCGGGGAGAACCUCCCUUACCUGCUGAAUCCCCCAGGGGCGGAAGUCAGCAAGGGUAGGCAGGACGCACGGCGCUUGCGGAAAGCGGGAUGGAGCCUGAGGGGCCGGUCAACGGUGUGCAGGGGAAGGCGUCCACCUUCGACGCGCCCGCCG